rnacentral:rRNA from 1 species
CUUGUGGCCAAAACCUCCUUGUUACAGCCUGAUCUCAUCAGAUCUCCGAAGCUAAGCAAGGCCGAGCCUGUUUAGGACUUGGAUUGGCAGCCUUGCUCCUAUCAGUGUGCCCCAGGACAGCUGUGGCUACAAUU